CGACCGCUGGCGGCGUGCCUAAUACAUGCAAGUUGAGCGCUGAAGGUUGGUACUUGUCCCGACUGGAUGAGCCGCGAACGGGUGAGUAACGCGUGGGGAAUCUGCCUUUGAGCGGGGGACAACAUUUGGAAACGAAUGCUAAUACCGCAUAAAAACUUUAAACACAAGUUUUAAGUUUGAAAGAUGCAAUUGCAUCACUCAAAGAUGAUCCCGCGUUGUAUUAGCUAGUUGGUGAGGUAAAGGCUCACCAAGGCGAUGAUACAUAGCCGACCUGAGAGGGUGAUCGGCCACAUUGGGACUGAGACACGGCCCAAACUCCUACGGGAGGCAGCAGUAGGGAAUCUUCGGCAAUGGACGAAAGUCUGACCGAGCAACGCCGCGUGAGUGAAGAAGGUUUUCGGAUCGUAAAACUCUGUUGGUAGAGAAGAACGUUGGUGAGAGUGGAAAGCUCAUCAAGUGACGGUAACUACCCAGAAAGGGACGGCUAACUACGUG
rnacentral:rRNA from 1 species